rnacentral:rRNA from 1 species
CCCUUAGAUGUUCUGGGCCGCACGCGUGCUACACUGAGUGGAUCAGCGGGUCAGGUUGCGCGAAAGCGUUUCCUAAUCUUUAAAUCCGCUCGUGAUGGGGAUUGACGGUUGCAAUUUUCUGUCAUGAACGAGGAAUACCUUGUAAGCGCGGGUCAUCAUCCCGCGCUGAAUACGUCCCUGCCCUUUGUACACACCGCCCGUCGCUCCUACCGAUUGGGUGAUCCGGUGAAUGAUUCGGACUCUGGCUAUGCUAGCUACUAGCUACGUCAGGGAAAGUUUUGUGAACCUUAUCACUUGGAGGAAGGAGAAGUCGUAACA